UAAACAGUAGAGCGAUUUCUUCUAAUCCGGAGGAAUUGGAAACGUCCCCUACUGUUUAAUGUAAGAAAUCCCACUCUGGCAAUUAAAAACAACGUAAUACCAAGAAUUGAAGGGAUGGAUUGCUGGCACUAUCUUCUAAACAGCGCAGCAAGUGAAGUGAAGAGAUGAGUUUGUUACCAGCUUUGGGAAUCUUCAACCUGGACUCUGCCACGCUGUUACCUUGCAAGCAGAAAGGUGUCACAUGAAUCCCGGCGCUACAGAAGCGCUAUGACAUCGGAUGACUUUCUCCUCUGUCUUCGAGCCUUGUGUAUGCGCACACAGCCAACAGUAGACUCCAUCCACUUCUAGAAGCAUGGGCGUUUAAGAAGCUUGAAAACAGCAGCCUGAAAUGUGGAGUUCUAAUGCGCUUGGAAAUGCUUUCAUGGCCUUUCCUGCUCCUCAGAAGUACUGUUUGAUUCAAUAGUAAGGCAGAGGAGUAGCUGUUUUGUGAAAAUGUGUGAAUAAUCCUCGAAUGACGUUCAGGGAGUUUUCAUCACUGAGGUCAAACGGAAAUACAGGAUUUGGUGCUAUGCAUAAUGGAGACUUGCCUAAGCAAAGAAGAAAACAAGACUUAUGCUAGAAGACUUGAUAAACUCUUGCCAGGACUUUGAAGUAGGUGUGAGAUUACCGGACUGUAGAAGUUCAAGUUUAUCCUUUUUAUAUGAAGAUAAGUCUCCUAUGUAACAGAUACCACCCUUA